rnacentral:rRNA from 1 species
GACGAACCGUGCGACCGUUGUUCGGAAUCACUGGGCUUAAAGGGCGCGUAGGCGGGUUCGCAAGUCUGUGGUGAAAGCCCCCGGCUUAACCGGGGAAGGGCCGUGGAUACUGCGAAUCUUGAGGAGGGUAGGGGCAUCUGGAACGGUCGGUGGAGCGGUGAAAUGCGUUGAUAUCGACCGGAACUCCGGUGGCGAAGGCGAGGUGCUGGACCCUUUCUGACGCUGAGGCGCGAAAGCCAGGGGAGCAAACGGG